UACGUAGGGUGCAAGCGUUAAUCGGAAUUACUGGGCGUAAAGCGUGCGCAGGCGGUGAUGUAAGACAGAUGUGAAAUCCCCGGGCUCAACCUGGGAACUGCAUUUGUGACUGCAUCGCUGGAGUGCGGCAGAGGGGGGAUGGAAUUCCGCGUGUAGCAGUGAAAUGCGUAGAUAUGCGGAGGAACACCAGCGGCGAAGGCGGCAUCCUGGACUGGUCCUGACACUCAGGAGCGAAAGCGUGGGGAUCAAACAGG
rnacentral:rRNA from 1 species